UGUUCCUUAGUAUAUGAUGUAUAAGAGUUUUUGGUACUCUAGGAGGCGGUUUGAUCCUGCCAGGUGCAA
rnacentral:tRNA from 1 species